rnacentral:rRNA from 1 species
UGGGGAAUAUUGCACAAUGGGCGCAAGCCUGAUGCAGCCAUGCCGCGUGUGUGAAGAAGGCCUUCGGGUUGUAAAGCACUUUCAGCGAGGAGGAAGGUGGUGAGCUUAAUACGCUCAUCAAUUGACGUUACUCGCAGAAGAAGCACCGGCUAACUCCGUGCCAGCAGCCGCGGCAAUACGGAGGGUGCAAGCGUUAAUCGGAAUUACUGGGCGUAAAGCGCACGCAGGCGGUUUGUUAAGUCAGAUGUGAAAUCCCCGGGCUCAACCUGGGAACUGCAUUUGAAACUGGCAAGCUAGAGUCUCGUAGAGGGGGGUAGAAUUCCAGGUGUAGCGGUGAAAUGCGUAGAGAUCUGGAGGAAUACCGGUGGCGGAGGCGGCCCCCUGGACGAAGACUGACGCUCAGGUGCGAAAGCGUGGGGCAGCAAACAGGAUUAGAUACCCUGGUAGUCCACGCUGUAAACGAUGUCGAUUUGGAGGUUGUGCCCUUGAGGCGUGGCUUCCGGAGCUAACGCGUUAAAUCGACCGCCUGGGGAGUACGGCCGCAAGGUUAAAACUCAAAUGAAUUGAC